rnacentral:rRNA from 1 species
CGCUGCGGCGGCUUACCAUGCAAGUCGAACGAUGAAAUCUAGCUUGCUAGAUGGAUUAGUGGCGAACGGGUGAGUAAUGCUUAGGAAUCUGCCUAUUAGUGGGGGAUGACCAUCCGAAAGGAUGGCUAAUACCGCAUACGUCUUACGAGAGAAAGGGGGCUUUUAGCUCUCGCUAAUAGAUGAGCCUAAGUCGGAUUAGCUAGUUGGUGGGGUAAAGGCCUACCAAGGCGACGAUCUGUAGCUGGUCUGAGAGGAUGAUCAGCCACACUGGGAUUGAGACACGGCCCAGACUCCUACGGGAGGCAGCAGUGGGGAAUAUUGGACAAUGGGCGAAAGCCUGAUCCAGCCAUGCCGCGUGUGUGAAGAAGGCCUUUUGGUUGUAAAGCACUUUAAGUGGGGAGGAAAAGCUUGUGGUUAAUACCCAUUAGCCCUGACGUUACCCACAGAAUAAGCACCGGCUAACUCUGUGCCAGCAGCCGCGGUAAU